GUGGACUGGACUCACUGUGGUGUCAGGCCCUCAAGCAGGGGGAGAGCAGUGAGGGGUCUGUCCAGGUUGACGUGUCCCAGUAUGAAAACUCCUCCUACCUGGUCUGACUCCUGGAGUAGCUCCUACAUGGACCUCCAGGGGCCGCAGUGGGGCCAGGACACCAAUGGACGUAGGAGCAGAGGGCCCUGCUGGGCAGCCUGGAACACAGCGUCCUUCUCCUGUCUGACUUCCCCUGUUUAGCCUACAUGUGGAGGAUAGGGGCUCUCCUCGCCCCCUCUGUUCCAGGAACGAGCAUGGCGCCACCACGGCCACACAGGCGUGUAAUUCCAC
ensembl:lncRNA